rnacentral:rRNA from 1 species
AGUCGACCCCUAAGGCGAGGCCGAAAGGCGUAGUCGAUGGGAAACGGGUUAAUAUUCCCGUACUUGGUGUUACUGCGAAGGGGGGACGGAGAAGGCUAUGUUGGCCGGGCGACGGUUGUCCCGGUUUAAGCGUGUAGGUGUGUGUUCCAGGUAAAUCCGGUUCACUUUAACACUGAGGCGUGAUGACGAGGCACUACGGUGCUGAAGCAACAAAUGCCCUGCUUCCAGGAAAAGCCUCUAAGCAUCAGGUAACAUCAAAUCGUACCCCAAACCGACACAGGUGGUCAGGUAGAGAAUACCAAGGCGCUUGAGAGAACUCGGGUGAAGGAACUAGGCAAAAUGGUGCCGUAACUUCGGGAGAAGGCACGCUGACACGUAGGUGAAGUGAUUUACUCAUGGAGCUGAAGUCAGUCGAAGAUACCAGCUGGCUGCAACUGUUUAUUAAAAACACAGCACUGUGCAAACACGAAAGUGGACGUAUACGGUGUGACGCCUGCCCGGUGCCGGAAGGUUAAUUGAUGGGGUCAGCGCAAGCGAAGCUCCUGAUCGAAGCCCCGGUAAACGGCGGCCGUAACUAUAACGGUCCUAAGGUAGCGAAAUUCCUUGUCGGGUAAGUUCCGACCUGCACGAAUGGCGUAAUGAUGGCCAGGCUGUCUCCACCCGAGACUCAGUGAAAUUGAACUCGCUGUGAAGAUGCAGUGUACCCGCGGCAAGACGGAAAGACCCCGUGAACCUUUACUAUAGCUUGACACUGAACAUUGAGCCUUGAUGUGUAGGAUAGGUGGGAGGCUUUGAAGUGUGGACGCCAGUCUGCAUGGAGCCGGCCUUGAAAUACCACCCUUUAAUGUUUGAUGUUCUAACGUGGACCCGUGAUCCGGGUUGCGGACAGUGUCUGGUGGGUAGUUUGACUGGGGCGGUCUCCUCCUAAAGAGUAACGGAGGAGCACGAAGGUUGGCUAAUCCUGGUCGGACAUCAGGAGGUUAGUGCAAUGGCAUAAGCCAGCUUGACUGCGAGCGUGACGGCGCGAGCAGGUGCGAAAGCAGGUCAUAGUGAUCCGGUGGUUCUGAAUGGAAGGGCCAUCGCUCAACGGAUAAAAGGUACUCCGGGGAUAACAGGCUGAUACCGCCCAAGAGUUCAUAUCGACGGCGGUGUUUGGCACCUCGAUGUCGGCUCAUCACAUCCUGGGGCUGAAGUAGGUCCCAAGGGUAUGGCUGUUCGCCAUUUAAAGUGGUACGCGAGCUGGGUUUAGAACGUCGUGAGACAGUUCGGUCCCUAUCUGCCGUGGGCGCUGGAGAACUGAGGGGGGCUGCUCCUAGUACGAGAGGACCGGAGUGGACGCAUCACUGGUGUUCGGGUUGUCAUGCCAAUGGCACUGCCCGGUAGCUAAAUGCGGAAGAGAUAAGUGCUGAAAGCAUCUAAGCACGAAACUUGCCCCGAGAUGAGUUCUCCCUGAGACUUUAGGUCUCCUGAAGGAACGUUGAAGACGACGACGUUGAUAGGCCGGGUGUGUAAGCGCAGCGAUGCGUUGAGCUAACCGGUACUAAUGAACCGUGAGGCUUAACCUU